rnacentral:rRNA from 1 species
UACAGAGGGGGCAAGCGUUGUUCGGAAUUACUGGGCGUAAAGGGCGCGUAGGCGGCCUGCUAAGUCGAACGUGAAAUCCCCGGGCUCAACCCGGGAACUGCGUCCGAUACUGGCAGGCUUGAAUCCGGGAGAGGGAUGCGGAAUUCCAGGUGUAGCGGUGAAAUGCGUAGAUAUCAAGCGGAACACCGGUGGCGAAGGCGGCCUUCUGGACAGUGACUGACGCUGAGACGCGAAAGCGUGGGGAGCAAACAGG